GCGCCUGUAGCUCAGCUGGAUAGAGCAGCGGACUUCUAAUCCGCAGGUCGUACGUUCGAGUCGUACCAGGCGUGCCA
rnacentral:tRNA from 1 species